rnacentral:rRNA from 1 species
AUUGAACGCUGGCGGCAGGCUUAACACAUGCAAGUCGAGCGAGCGGCGGACGGGUGAGUAAUGUCUGGGAAACUGCCUGAUGGAGGGGGAUAACUACUGGAAACGGUAGCUAAUACCGCAUACCAUCAGAUGUGCCCAGAUGGGAUUGGCUAGUAGGUGGGGUAAUGGCUCACCGAGGCGACGAUCCCUAGCUGGUCUGAGAGGCCGACCGGGCACCCGGGAUCUGAGAAACGGUCCCGACUCCGACGGGAGGCAGCAGUGGGGAAUAUUGCACAAUGGGCGCAAGCCUGAUGCAGCCAUGCCGCGUGUAUGAAGAAGGCCUUCGGGUUGUAAAGUACUGUCAGCGGGGAGGCGUUACCCGCAGAAGAAGCACCGGCUAACUCCGUGCCAGCAGCCGCGGUAAUUC